GUAAAAAGGGACCCUGCUAUUUAUUAAAAAUGCAUCAGAACACAUCCUAGGUUCUGCUAAGCACCUGUAAAAGGCUCCCUGAAUGUGACUUUAUCAGCCAUGCUACAGCUGACAUUAUUUUUCCCUUUCUCAAUAUUGCUCUUGACUUUUAAUAUUACUCAUCCAACAGGCAAAUACUCAACUGAUAGAGAUGUCUAAAUUAGAGGAAAAGUGAUCCUGAAGGAACCAAAUGCUUUUCUCUGAGAGUUGGAGUUAUUCAAAGACUCAUCUGUAAUCCAGAAGUGCAGAGGCAGCAUGGAAAUGAAAAAUAGUUGGAAAAAGCAAGAGUUCACCAAACAGCUCAGAACCUUCCAAAUAAAUCGGUGCUGGUUCAGUUCUUGAAAAGCAAAAAGUUUAGGUGGGAUUUGAUUUUCUUUCCCAAACUUUUCUUUCUGUAAAAUGAACUUUAUUAGGACUCGUGACUAUGAAGACUUCCAGUUUGACUUUUUAUAUAAGCAACAGUUUCUCCUUUUGGAGAUUCAGCUUAAAGGAUGGCCCCAUCAAAAAAAUGACCAUACAAAUAGCAGUGUGGGUUCCCACAUUUA